GCAUCGUCUGAAGAAUCGCCGUCACAGCACACGCACGGAAAGAUUUAACUUUCUUCUUCGGCUGUGGGGAAAGUCCCCGGAGAAACAGGGUUGUACCUCCUCGUUCACAAUGGAAAGCUCCCAGCUCUAAGAGCGCUGCGGGGAACGAUGUUGGUCGGGAAGAUUGAUUUACUGGACUUGCUGCCAUCGUGCUCAGGACCUGUUCCCCUUGCCCACCCUGUUGCUGACUCGAUCUCAAGUGCUCUAACAACUGCACGGCUACGCGAAGAUAUGAGCGUGGUCGUGUACGAGUCAUCUUGGAAGACGGUUGGUGCUUCGUUGCUCAUAGACAUAGUUAUGCGAUUGUCGACUGUGCCUCUGGUCUGUCUUCAACUCAAUGGGGCUCACUCUCAUUCGAUG
rnacentral:RNase_MRP_RNA from 2 species